GACGAACGCUGGCGGCGUGCUUAACACAUGCAAGUCGAGCGGUAAGGCCCUUUCGGGGGUACGACGAGCGGCGAACGGGUGAGUAACACGUGGGUGACCUGCCUUUAGCUCUGGGAUAAGCCUGGGAAACCGGGUCUAAUACCGGAUAUGACUCCGCGGCGCAUGUUGUGGGGUGGAAAGCCUUGUGCGGCUGGAGAUGGGCCCGCGGCCUAUCAGCUUGUUGGUGGGGUGAUGGCCUACCAAGGCGACGACGGGUAGCCGGCCUGAGAGGGCGACCGGCCACACUGGGACUGAGACACGGCCCAGACUCCUACGGGAGGCAGCAGUGGGGAAUCUUGCGCAAUGGGCGAAAGCCUGACGCAGCGACGCCGCGUGAGGGAUGACGGCCU
rnacentral:rRNA from 1 species